CCUACGGGAGGCAGCAGUGAGGAAUAUUGGUCAAUGGGCGCUAGCCUGAACCAGCCAAGUAGCGUGAAUGAUGACUGCCCUAUGGUUUUUAAACUUCUUUUAUAUGGGAAUACAUUGCAGUAUGUAUACUUCUUUGCCUUUACCUUAUGUAUACGGAUCGGCUAACUACGUGCCAGCCGCCGCGGUACUACGAAGGAUCCGAGCGUUGUCCGGAUUUAUUGGGUUUAAAGGGAGCGUAGGCGGGUUGUUAAGUCAGUUGUGAAAGUUUGCGGCUCAACCGUAAAAUGGCAGUUGAUACUGGAAUACGUGAGUACAGUAGAGGUAGGAGGAAUUCGUGGUGUAGCGGUGAAAUGCGUAGAGAUCACGAAGAACUCCGAUUGCGAAGGCAGCCUGCUGGACUGUAACUGACGCUGAUGCUCGAAAGUGUGGGGAUCAAACAGGAUGAGAUACCCCAGUAGUC
rnacentral:rRNA from 1 species